GCCCGAGUGGCGGAAUUGGUAGACGCGCUGGACUCAAAAUCCAGUGUCCUUUAAAGACGUACCGGUUCGAUCCCGGUCCCGGGCACGA
rnacentral:tRNA from 1 species